rnacentral:rRNA from 1 species
UACGUAGGGUGCAAGCGUUGUCCGGAAUUAUUGGGCGUAAAGAGCUCGUAGGCGGUCUGUUGCGUCGGCUGUGAAAACCCGGGGCUCAACUCCGGGCCUACAGCCGAUACGGGCAGACUAGAGUUCGGCAGGGGAGACUGGAAUUCCUGGUGUAGCGGUGAAAUGCGCAGAUAUCAGGAGGAACACCGGUGGCGAAGGCGGGUCUCUGGGCCGAUACUGACGCUGAGGAGCGAAAGCGUGGGGAGCGAACAGG